UUAAAUUGAAGAGUUUGAUCAUGGCUCAGAUUGAACGCUGGCGGCAGGCCUAACACAUGCAAGUCGAACGGUAACAGGAAGCGGCUUGCUG
rnacentral:rRNA from 1 species